rnacentral:rRNA from 1 species
CCCUUAGAUGUCCUGGGCCGCACGCGCGCUCCACUGAUGCAUUCAACGAGCCUAUCCUUGACCGACAGGUCCGGGUAAUCUUUGAAUCUGCAUCGUGACGGGGAUAGAUUAUUGCAAUUAUUAAUCUUCAACGAGGAAUGCCUAGUAGGCGCAAGUCAUCAGCUUGCGUCGAUUACGUCCCUGCCCUUUGUACACACCGCCCGUCGCUCCUACCGAUUGGGUGUGCUGGUGAAAUGUUCGGAUCGGCCGUUUGUCGCGGUUUCCGCGUCAUGUGGCUGAGAAGUUCAUUAAACCCUCCCACCUAGAGGAAGGAGAAGUCGUAACA